UACGAAGGGGGCUAGCGUUGCUCGGAAUCACUGGGCGUAAAGCGCACGUAGGCGGCUUGUUAAGUCAGGGGUGAAAUCCUGGAGCUCAACUCCAGAACUGCCUUUGAUACUGACGAGCUUGAGUUCGGGAGAGGUGAGUGGAACUGCGAGUGUAGAGGUGAAAUUCGUAGAUAUUCGCAAGAACACCAGUGGCGAAGGCGGCUCACUGGCCCGAUACUGACGCUGAGGUGCGAAAGCGUGGGGAGCAAACAGGG
rnacentral:rRNA from 1 species